GACGACGUCGCUGCCAUUGCUGCCGUUGCUGCGGCCGUGGUCGUUGCUCGUUGCUUCCAUCAGCGUAUACUUGGCCAACGCGUUGCUUACAAGGCUGCUGCUACCACUUCGCCGUACAGACCUUUUGCAACCCGGUUUUAAACGCUGAAAGGAAAUAUGGUGGCUGAUAUAGGACGUGAACGAAUCGCGAUGCGAUCUAUCCCUCUUUCUUAAACGCGAUUGGUCGAUUAAGCCGCCGAAAUUCUAUUUGUCGUUUAAAACAACGUCGCGACGACAAUGAUUUCUAUGAAUCGUCGUCAUUGUUUCCGCCAAUACAAGAGCGUGUUGCAUUCUAACGAAUAGGAAAAGGGGAGACUAACGAUGAAAAACAAAUAAAAUUAGUGCUCGUUUAUUAUUCGACGACGCAGUUUAACCUAUCGAAAACAAAAAAAUAAAAAUAUGGAUCCAGGAUUAUAGAGUUCGAUGCGCGAUUGGUAUCUCUUCAAAUGACGUUCUCCAUUUUGAUGGUGGUAAUAGUAGUGAGGGUAGUGGUGGUAGCGGUGACGAAUAAAACAAAAAUAUCUGGUUGAUAUUUAAAAAUGGCUUCACAUCCCGAAUGGUGAAAUUAAGAGGUGGAGGAGAAGGAGGAGGAGGAGUUUAUACACGGUUUACCUUAUAGGAGCAAUUUCCACAAAUACUCGUCGUAUUUCCAGUGGCUAUGCAGCAUCUCGAUGCUACACCACCGCAUUAUCAUCACCAUCGACACAACGAGGCAUCCUCCUCAUUCUCGUUUCUCUCCUUUACAUGUAUACAUACCAGUCCUAUUCUUAGCGCUCGCGUAUCGCGAGUAACGGGCUGGACGAUGACGACUCAUAGCUAAAGCAAAAGAAAGAAAUAAAGAAAGAAAGAAAUAGACAUGCAAGCAGGCAGGUUGGCAGGCAGGUAGAUGGAAGGAAGGAUGGAAUAAUAGAGGGGACAAUGGAAGAAGGGAGGAAAAGAAGACGUAUCGUAGAUAGAGAAAUACAAGGAGGAAACCCGACGACGACUACGACGACGACAACGAUAAAGUUUAUCGGCUGCCGAUAAAGCAGAGACUCGCGAUCUUUUGGCUUACAAGAAGAGCGAACUUUCUGCUUUAGGAAGGCGGAAGGGCAGAGGGAGAGGUAGCAAGUUCGUCAAAUCGCCGCGCCGAUGUUUCAAGUUUCCCGAGCCGCGCGGGGUCUUUUGCUCGUUCUCGUCGAUGACGAAAGUAAGAUACGUGCGAAUGCAA